UACGAAGGGGGCUAGCGUUGCUCGGAAUUACUGGGCGUAAAGGGCGCGUAGGCGGAUACUUAAGUCGGGGGUGAAAGCCCAGGGCUCAACCCUGGAACAGCCUUCGAUACUGGCGAUCUUGAGUCCGGAAGAGGUGAGUGGAACUCCUAGUGUAGAGGUGGAAUUCGUAGAUAUUAGGAAGAACACCAGUGGCGAAGGCGGCUCACUGGUCCGGUACUGACGCUGAGGUGCGAAAGCGUGGGGAGCAAACAGG
rnacentral:rRNA from 1 species